UACGUAGGGUGCAAGCGUUGUCCGGAAUUAUUGGGCGUAAAGAGCUCGUAGGCGGUCUGUCGCGUCGGCUGUGAAAACUCGGGGGCUCAACCCCGAGCCUGCAGUCGAUACGGGCAGACUAGAGUUCGGUAGGGGAGACUGGAAUUCCUGGUGUAGCGGUGAAAUGCGCAGAUAUCAGGAGGAACACCGGUGGCGAAGGCGGGUCUCUGGGCCGGAACUGACGCUGAAUAGCGAAAGCGUGGGUAGCGAACGGG
rnacentral:rRNA from 1 species